UUACCUCGGGGAUAAUUGAGUUGUCACCAGCAAGAGCACAUAUCGACCUGGUGGCUUGCUACUUCGAUGUCGUCUCUUCCCAACCUCCUGGUGCAGCAGCUGGGAAGGGUGGGGUUGUUCGCCCAUUAAAGGGGAUCGUGAGAUGGGUUUAGACCGUCGUGAGACAGGUUUGUUGCUUGGCGGUUGUGGCGUGAUGCCUGAUCGGAAGGGCCGUUUAGUACGAGAGGAACGAUGGCUCGGAGUCACUAGUUUACCAGUUGUCCGGCAGGGCAAUGCUGGGUAGCCACACUCCAAUGGAUAAGAGCUGAAAGCAUCUAAGCUCGAAGCCAGCCGAAAGACGAGGCAUCUCAGGGAACUCGUAAAAGACGAGAUUGAUAGAAUGCGGGUGUAAGCACCGAGGCAACGAGGUGUUCAGCCCAGCAUCACUAACAUCCCGGUAUGCAUCCUUU
rnacentral:ncRNA from 1 species